rnacentral:rRNA from 1 species
UACAGAGGAGCCAAGCGUUGUCCGGAUUGACUGGGCGUAAAGCGCACGCAGGCGGACGCGCGCGUGGGGUGUGAAAUCUGGCCGCUUAACGGCCAGGCGCCAUCCCAUACGGCGCGACUGGAGUGAUGCAGAGGUCGAUGGAAUUGCCGGUUUAGUGGUGAAAUGCGUAGAGAUCGGCAGGAACACCCAGGGGGAAACCAGUCGACUGGGCAUCUACUGACGCUGAGGUGCGAGAGCGUGGGGAGCGAACCGG